rnacentral:lncRNA from 10 species
GGCAAAUACAAUAUGAGUCUUAAAUAUCUUGUGGUGCCAGAAGGAGUGGAUGUUAUGACAGAGGAAUGUAGGAAGGAAGGACAUCAGGCUCUGAACAUCCAUCCAUGUAAAACAUUGAAUAAGACUAGCUGUUAAACAGGGCUUUUUCCCUAGAAAGGUGUCAUAAUUUUGACUCCAUCAAAUUCUUCUAACAGCAAGUACUCAUUUGGGCCCAUUUUACAGAAGAAGGAAAACUCUUGAGUGGCUCAAUCUUGGCUCUCCACAACCUCUGCCUCCUGGAUUCAAGCGAUUCUAUUCCCCAGCAUACCAAGAAGCUGGGAUUACAGGCAUGUAUCACCGUGCCCGGCUAAUUUUUUUUUUUUUUUUUUUUUUUUUUUUUGUAUUUUUAGUAGAGGCAGGACUUCUCCAUGUUGGCCAGGCUGGUCUUGAACUUUUGACCUCAAGUGAUCUGCCCACCUUGGCCUCCCAAAAUGCAGGGAUUAUAGGCAUGAGCCACUGUAACUGGCUGCUUCUUAGCAUACUUUAUCAAUUUAUUAUGUAAAGUCCUCAAUUUUCAAGUAAGGGCUCCCCCCAAAAAAACAAUCUCCAAUGAGCAUGUAAUUAUUUCAGUGACCACCAUGAGUCAAGGUUGGAUUAAAGUCAGAAAUGUAGGAUUCUAGGACAAAGGAAUCAAAUGCUAAAACUAGAAGGAAUUUGAGCAUUUAUAAUAACUUUGCUCAAAUACUUCUGCAGAAAUACCUUUCUAUGCCCUAUAAAAUAGGGAAUGGAAAGUAAUAAAUCAACAUUGCUAUAGUAGACUUAGAUUUCACUUAUGCACAUAAAAAAUUGUUUCUUACACCUACAUAGCAUAUUUCCCUCAUUCUUGACAUUUCACAAUUUUCUCUUACAGUUAAACUACAGUUCAGUCAAGUAGGGUCAGCAUGGCAAAUUGGAAAUAUUUUACAAGGUUUCAAUUUUCAGGAGAAUAAACCAAAAAAAGAGAAGGCUUUCAUAUAUUGUUU